rnacentral:ribozyme from 1 species
UCCUGGGCGGCAGGAUGCCAGCUCGUUGCACUCAAUUUUCAAAAACCCUGCCCAGAAAUCCUGCAAAACCACUCCAAAUUUUGUGAUAAUGGGUCUUGUGGGUACAUUUUAAAGCCUAACUUUAUGCGGUGGAGAGGGGAGGGAGAAAAGGAGGAGGAAAUUAUUUCUCCUUCUUUGGAACUUUCAAUUCGAGUAAUCGGAGCGAGCUUCCUCCCCAGACCGAAACAAUCUCUCGGAAAACAAGGACCCCAACUCAAAA